UGAUGACGUAAGUCCAAAGAUUUAUCGCCGAAGGAUGAGCCCGCGUAGGAUUAGGUAGUUGGUAGGGUAACUGGCCUACCAAGCCGACGAUCCCUUAGCUGGUCCUGAGAGGAUGAAUCAGCCACACUGGGACUGAGACACGGCCCAGACUCCUACGGGAGGCAGCAGUGGGGAAUAUUCGGACAAUGGGCGAAAGCCUGAUCCAGCCAAUGCCGCGUGAGUGAUGAAGGCCUUAGGGUUGUAAAGUCUCUUUUACCAGGGAUGAUAAUGACAGUACCUGGAGAAUAAGCUCCGGCUAACUCCGUG
rnacentral:rRNA from 1 species